AUUGAACGCUGGCGGCAGGCCUAACACAUGCAAGUCGAACGCUGUAGCAAUACAGAGUGGCAGACGGGUGAGUAACGCGUGGGAACAUGCCCUUCGGUUCGGAAUAACUCAGGGAAACUUGAGCUAAUACCGGAUACGCCCUUAGGGGGAAAGAUUUAUUGCCGAAGGAUUGGCCCGCGUCCGAUUAGCUAGUUGGUGAGGUAAUGGCUCACCAAGGCGACGAUCGGUAGCUGGUCUGAGAGGAUGAUCAGCCACACUGGGACUGAGACACGGCCCAGACUCCUACGGGAGGCAGCAGUGGGGAAUAUUGGACAAUGGGCGCAAGCCUGAUCCAGCCAUGCCGCGUGAGUGAUGAAGGCCCUAGGGUUGUAAAGCUCUUUCGCCAGGGACGAUAAUGACGGUACCUGGAUAAGAAGCCCCGGCUAACUUCGUGCCAGCCGCCGCGGUAAUAC
rnacentral:rRNA from 1 species